rnacentral:rRNA from 1 species
GACGAACCGUGCGAACGUUGUUCGGAUUCACUGGGCUUAAAGCGCGCGUAGGUGGUCAUGUAAGUCCGCUGUGAAAGUCAAAGGCUCAACCUUUGAAAGCCGGUGGAUACUGCAUGACUAGAGUACGGAAGAGGCGAGUGGAAUUCCUGGUGUAGCGGUGGAAUGCGCAGAUAUCAGGAGGAACACCAAUAGCGAAGGCAGCUCGCUGGGACGUUACUGACACUGAGGCGCGAAAGCGUGGGGAGCGAACAGG